UACGUAGGGUGCAAGCGUUUAAUCGGAAUUAUUGGGCGUAAAGGGUGCGUAGGCGGUUUGUUAAGACGGAUGUGAAAUCCCUGGGCUCAACCUGGGAACUGCAUACGUGACUGGCAGACUAGAGUAUGGCAGAGGGAGGUGGAAUUCCACGUGUAGCAGUGAAAUGCGUAGAUAUGUGGAGGAACACCGAUGGCGAAGGCAGCCUCCUGGGCCAAUACUGACGCUGAGGUGCGAAAGGCGUGGGGAGCAAACAGG
rnacentral:rRNA from 1 species